UUUAGGUGAUUGUCUACUAGGACUCCGAGGUCCCUCUCACAGUUGCUACUAUUGAGCAAGGGGAGAGGAAUCCAGAUUUUGGCUUCCAUUGUGUGAGUGCCGAUGCCAUGCUACACAAAUAAAGAUCCUUUAAGGUAAACAAGGAAGUUCCUUGAAGAGUUUCAUCGGUCGGUGCCAGGACAUCGGCGAUCCUCGGCGGAGAGGCAGGACCGUGGUGUAAA